UACGUAGGGUGCGAGCGUUAAUCGGAAUUACUGGGCGUAAAGCGUGCGCAGGCGGUUGUGCAAGACCGAUGUGAAAUCCCCGGGCUUAACCUGGGAAUGGCAUUGGUGACUGCACGGCUAGAGUGUGUCAGAGGGGGGUAGAAUUCCACGUGUAGCGGUGAAAUGCGUAGAUAUCGGAAGGAACAUCAGUGGCGAAAGCGACUGCCUGGCCCAAUACUGACACUCAUGUGCGAAAGCGUGGGGAGCAAACAGG
rnacentral:rRNA from 1 species